rnacentral:rRNA from 1 species
CCCUUGUAUAUUAGUAUUGGAAUUUAAUAAUUUUUGGCGGUUAAUUAUUAAUUAGAGGAGCUUGUAUAGAUUUAGCUCUUUAUAUUUAAUUAAUAAAUUUAUUCAUCUCCGUUAUUAAUAUUACAUUUCAGGUCAAGAUGUAGUAUUUAUUAGGAUAUUAGCUACAAUUAUAUAAUAAUAAAUUGAAUUUAAUUGUAAUUGUAUUUAAAAUAAUAUGAUGAAUGGAAUUGGUUAAUGU